rnacentral:rRNA from 1 species
GACGAACGCUGGCGGCGUGCCUAAUACAUGCAAGUAGAACGCUGAGGUUUGGUGUUUACACUAGACUGAUGAGUUGCGAACGGGUGAGUAACGCGUAGGUAACCUGCCUCAUAGCGGGGGAUAACUAUUGGAAACGAUAGCUAAUACCGCAUAAGAGUAAUUAACACAUGUUAGUUAUUUAAAAGGAGCAAUUGCUUCACUGUGAGAUGGACCUGCGUUGUAUUAGCUAGUUGGUGAGGUAAAGGCUCACCAAGGCGACGAUACAUAGCCGACCUGAGAGGGUGAUCGGCCACACUGGGACUGAGACACGGCCCAGACUCCUACGGGAGGCAGCAGUAGGGAAUCUUCGGCAAUGGACGGAAGUCUGACCGAGCAACGCCGCGUGAGUGAAGAAGGUUUUCGGAUCGUAAAGCUCUGUUGUUAGAGAAGAACGUUGGUAGGAGUGGAAAAUCUACCAAGUGACGGUAACUAACCAGAAAGGGACGGCUAACUACGUGCCAGCAGCCGCGGUAAUACGUAGGUCCCGAGCGU